AUUGAACGCUGGCGGAAUGCUUUACACAUGCAAGUCGAACGGCAGCACGGGGCAACCUGGUGGCGAGUGGCGAACGGGUGAGUAAUAUAUCGGAACGUGCCCAAUCGGUGGGGGAUAACGUAGCGAAAGUUACGCUAAUACCGCAUACGAUCUACGGAUGAAAGCGGGGGAUCGCAAGACCUCGCGCGAAUGGAGCGGCCGAUAUCAGAUUAGGUAGUUGGUGGGGUAAAGGCUCACCAAGCCAACGAUCUGUAGCUGGUCUGAGAGGACGACCAGCCACACUGGAACUGAGACACGGUCCAGACUCCUACGGGAGGCAGCAGUGGGGAAUUUUGGACAAUGGGCGCAAGCCUGAUCCAGCCAUUCCGCGUGCAGGAUGAAGGCCUUCGGGUUGUAAACUGCUUUUGUACGGAACGAAACGGUCUGCCCUAAUACGGCGGGCUAAUGACGGUACCGUAAGAAUAAGCACCGGCUAACUACGUG
rnacentral:rRNA from 1 species